GGAUGUAGUUUAUUAGUAGAGCACUUGCCUGGCAUGCAUGAGGCCCUGAGCUCAAAUCCCAGCACCA
rnacentral:tRNA from 1 species